UCACGCCCUGGGCCAAAGGCAGGCGCUAAACCGCUGCGCCACCCAGGGAUCCCUACUUGAGCCUAUUUAGUUGGGUAUCCCUGAAAGCGCUACUGCUGCGAAGAGAUCUGUACCCUAAGCAUGAUCCCGGGGAGAGGGACACCACCUCGCAGCCACAGGCCCACGCCCUCCCUCGGUGGGGGGGCUCUCUCCGCAUCAGGUGCUCGCAUUCUGGAAGGAGCGGCAGCGUGUGUGCUGAGUACUUUUUCCUGUGGUGGGCCACCGAAGGUUCGGGUGUGAAGAUAGACAAGCUGGCUACAGUUGUCUGAUAAAUGCUCCGCUUCUCCAGAUGGAAGAAAUUUGAGAAAAUUCAACAGAGUGUCAAAAUGUUUACGAGAAAUAUGAGAUGAGAGAGUUCUGGGAUACAGACCAGAUAGACAAAAUAAACGAAGUUAGUCCUUUGCCA